rnacentral:tRNA from 1 species
UCCCUGGCAGUCCAGUGGUUAAGACUCUGCACUUCCAAAGCAGGGGAUGCAGGUUUGAUCCCUGGUCAGAGAG